rnacentral:lncRNA from 1 species
CUUUUGGGGGCAGGCAAGAUAUUGCAGAGCCAGUGGUCAGGCAGCCGGUUGAGGCCUCACGACACCCAGAAAGUAACCAAGGCAGAGGCACUGCUGCAGCUCAUCACCCACACAAUUAAGGGCCUGGAUCCCAGGACACUGCUGGCUAACACAUGACUUAAAGGGCCUGAUUCCCACCCAGAAGCUUGCUGUUCAAAAUCUCCAAGUCGUCAUAUUCUAAUCAAAGUAUAAAGGUAUAACUGGGAGGAACGCUGAAGAAAACAAAUGAGGAGUUUUGUGUUUUACUAAGACUGUCAACAGAAACUCACCUACUACCCAAGCCUGAAAACACCCAUCACCAUGGGUGACAGCAUUUUUCUUAGCUGGCAUGCCAUGAAGGCCAGCUGCAGGACAUGAGAUAAAGAUAUACAUGGUACACACACAUAUGCAUAUGUGACAGCAUGAUACCGAUGCCUUAGGGAAACUGAAGAGGUGAGAAAGCUACUACCUGGUUU